rnacentral:misc_RNA from 1 species
GAAAUGCGAUAAGUAAUGUGAAUUGCAGAAUUCCGUGAAUCAUCGAAUCUUUGAACGCACAUUGCGCCCCCUGGCAUUCCGGGGGGCAUGCCUGUCCGAGCGUCAUUGCAAACCCUCAAGCCCGGCUUGCGUGAUGGGUCGCAGCGUCCCCGAAUUUGCGGGGGACGGGCCCGAAAGGCAGUGGCGGCGUCGCGGUCAUCCGAUCAGCCCAAGCGUAUGGGGACUCUCCGUCACACGCUAGCGGCGCGGACCGACGCUCGCCCAACCCGUCGAACGACACGAUCACGGUUUGACCUCGGAUCAGGUAGGGAUACCCGCUGAACUUAA